rnacentral:rRNA from 1 species
AGCCUGAACGCUGGCGGCGUGGUUAAGACAUGCAAGUCGUACGGUGUAGCAAUACACAGUGGCGAACGGGUGAGUAAUGAAUCGCUAAUGUACCCCGGACUUUGGGAUAGCUGCCCGAAAGGGCAGGUAAUACCAGAUGAUAUAACUUUGUCGCAUGACAGAGUUCUCAAAGGUCCGCCGGUCUGGGAGCAGGCGAUUUCGUAUCAGCUAGUUGGUAAGGUAACGGCUUACCAAGGCGACGACGCGUAGCCGGACUGAGAGGUUGGCCGGCCACAUUGGGACUGAGACACUGCCCAGACUCCUACGGGGGCUGCAGUAACGAAUCUUCCGCAAUGCACGAAAGUGUGACGGAGCGACGCCGCGUGUGGGACGAAGCCCUUCGGGGUGUAAACCACUGUCAAGGGAAAGAAAGUUCUGAUCUACCCUAGAGGAAGAGGCGGCUAACUCUGUGCCAGCAGCCGC